UGUCAGCAGCAUGUCAGUCUGAACUUCCACUACAUAGAGGAAAAGGAGACGUUCCCUCUUUCUCUGUGUCGGCCUUGUUAUUAUCCACAUCCUGUUGUUAUUGUGGGUGUGUAUAAAACCCCUCCACUCAGUGUAAAGGUGUCAGCAGCAUGUCAGUCUGAACUUCCACUACAUAGAGGAAAAGGAGACGUUCCCUCUUUCUCUGUGUCGGCCUUGUUAUUAUCCACAUCCUGUUGUUAUUGUGGGUGUGUAUAAAACCCCUCCACUCAGUGUAAAGGUGUCAGCAGCAUGUCAGUCUGAACUUCCACUACAUAGAGGAAAAGGAGACGUUCCCUCUUUCUCUGUGUCGGCCUUGUUAUUAUCCACAUCCUGUUGUUAUUGUGGGUGUGUAUAAAACCCCUCCACUCAGUGUAAAGGUGUCAGCAGCAUGUCAGUCUGAACUUCCACUACAUAGAGGAAAAGGAGACGUUCCCUCUUUCUCUGUGUCGGCCUUGUUAUUAUCCACAUCCUGUUGUUAUUGUGGGUGUGUAUAAAACCCCUCCACUCAGUGUAAAGGUGUCAGCAGCAUGUCAGUCUGAACUUCCACUACAUAGAGGAAAAGGAGACGUUCCCUCUUUCUCUGUGUCGGCCUUGUUAUUAUCCAGAUCCUGUUGUUAUUGUGGGUGUGUAUAAAACCCCUCCACUCAGUGUAAAGGUGUCAGCAGCAUGUCAGUCUGAACUUCCACUACAUAGAGGAAAAGGAGACGUUCCCUCUUUCUCUGUGUCGGCCUUGUUAUUAUCCACAUCCUGUUGUUAUUGUGGGUGUGUAUAAAACCCCUCCACUCAGUGUAAAGGUGUCAGCAGCAUGUCAGUCUGAACUUCCACUACAUAGAGGAAAAGGAGACGUUCCCUCUUUCUCUGUGUCGGCCUUGUUAUUAUCCACAUCCUGUUGUUAUUGUGGGUGUGUAUAAAACCCCUCCACUCAGUGUAAAGGUGUCAGCAGCAUGUCAGUCUGAACUUCCACUACAUAGAGGAAAAGGAGACGUUCCCUCUUUCUCUGUGUCGGCCUUGUUAUUAUCCAGAUCCUGUUGUUAUUGUGGGUGUGUAUAAAACCCCUCCACUCAGUGUAAAGGUGUCAGCAGCAUGUCAGUCUGAACUUCCACUACAUAGAGGAAAAGGAGACGUUCCCUCUUUCUCUGUGUCGGCCUUGUUAUUAUCCAGAUCCUGUUGUUAUUGUGGGUGUGUAUAAAACCCCUCCACUCAGUGUAAAGGUGUCAGCAGCAUGUCAGUCUGAACUUCCACUACAUAGAGGAAAAGGAGACGUUCCCUCUUUCUCUGUGUCGGCCUUGUUAUUAUCCACAUCCUGUUGUUAUUGUGGGUGUGUAUAAAACCCCUCCACUCAGUGUAAAGGUGUCAGCAGCAUGUCAGUCUGAACUUCCACUACAUAGAGGAAAAGGAGACGUUCCCUCUUUCUCUGUGUCGGCCUUGUUAUUAUCCACAUCCUGUUGUUAUUGUGGGUGUGUAUA